rnacentral:lncRNA from 1 species
ACAAGAACAAAUAUCUUCUGUCUGAUCAUCUCUCAUUCCUCUUAGCUAGAGCAGAGAUGAUAGGAAUUUUCCUGAGAGCAAAAUAAAUCAGUCAUCGCAUGGCUGUUGGCAUUCACAGCCAUCUGGCAAGGCAACUUCAGGACUGUGACGUCAGCUAGGUAUGUCAUAACCUGCACAGUGCCCUGCCUCUAGCGCUGCACAAGCUCCAAACAGACCAGUGAGAAGAGGUGACAAAGUCAAGUACGCAGAGUGAUGGGGCUCUCUCCCUUCACGAUCUCCAGGAGCAAGACAGAAAUUCCUUCUGAGGAGGAUGGCUCUUAUUCCUGGAUCAAAGUCCUCUUUAUGUGUAUUUUCACAUUCAGCAGUAGAAAAGAGUUUUAAAAAAACAUGACAGGCUGAAGUCAAACAACUUCACCUGGACAGACUACACUGAAGUCUAUUUGAGCAAAAGCACUCUGCUUGUACUCAGUGUGGAUGGAUCUAAAGUUUAAAGUCUCAUUUACGGUUUCCAGCUGACCUCACUGGUAAGGUCUUUCUGCAACUUGUUAUUAAAAACUUAUAAUAACAAUAUUUUGAUAGCCUUUAAAAUGCUUCCCUCUAGUACUACUAUCUUGGCCAUUUCCUCAGAGGAAACCUACUCAUUAUAGAAAUUUGCAAUAAUAUGGUGAAGAAAUACAGCAAUAUUGCUAAAAUCCAGAUUACUAGCUCAGAGACUUCCCCAGGGCCUCAGGCUGCUAUUUAAACUAAUUUUCAUGUAAACAGCACCAUGAAGAUACAAUACUACUUGUGGAGUAUUUUUUUUGACAGAGCGGAAGCUACCACCCAUGUUUCAAUCUUGGUUCAGUUUUCAUAACUUGACUAUUUCCUGUGUUUAAAAUUACUUGGAAUCAAUUUUUUUUUGCUUGCUUGUUGAUUUUUAAAUUUAGUCUUGCUUUACCUCUAUUCUAUUCAUUUUUCUGAAUGUCUGUGACGUGUUAAUGUAUAAUAUAUAUGCUUGCUCUCUUCUCUUUUCUCUACCAAGUCAGGUGUUUCAAUAGUGUUGCAUUUUGGAUUGUUUUCAAACCCAGUUCAGAUGGAGAAUCAUAGAUGCAUUAAGGUUGGAAAACACCACUAAGGUCAUUUAGUCUAACCACCUACUCAUG